rnacentral:rRNA from 1 species
UCCUUCGGGAUUAGUGGCGGACGGGUGAGUAACGCGUGGGAACAUACCCAAAGGUACGGAAUAGCCUCGGGAAACUGAGAGUAAUACCGUAUGUGCCCUUCGGGGGAAAGAUUUAUCGCCUUUGGAUUGGCCCGCGUUGGAUUAGGUAGUUGGUGGGGUAAUGGCCUACCAAGCCGACGAUCCAUAGCUGGUUUGAGAGGAUGAUCAGCCACACUGGGACUGAGACACGGCCCAGACUCC